rnacentral:rRNA from 1 species
GCCUACGGGACGCAGCAGUGAGGAAUAUUGGUCAAUGGACGCAAGUCUGAACCAGCCAAGUAGCGUGCAGGAUGACGGCCCUCCGGGUUGUAAACUGCUUUUAGUUGGGAAUAAAAGGGGGCUCGUGAGCCCCGUAUUGUAUGUACCAUCAGAAAAAGGACCGGCUAACUCCGUGCCAGCAGCCGCGGUAAUACGGAGGAUGCGAGCGUUAUCCGGAUUUAUUGGGUUUAAAGGGUGCGCAGGCGGAGGUGCAAGUCAGCGGUCAAAUUGCGGGGCUCAACCCCGUACUGCCGUUGAAACUGCAU